rnacentral:misc_RNA from 1 species
AAGUCGUAACAAGGUUUCCGUAGGUGAACCUGCGGAAGGAUCAUCAUUGAAUUCAUUUCUCUACAAACCCUGUGAACUGUACGGUUGAGCGUUUGGCGGGUAAGAGGUGGCAAAGGGGGCUGCUGUGCGCGGCUGGCUCCCUUUCUUCCUCUGUGCGUGUCGCGUCGUUGAGGCGCGCGUGCGCCCGCCACCUGCUCGCAUUUUAAACAAACUCUUUAAGCAUCCUUAACUGAAACAAUAAAUUUAAACUAAAACAACUUUCAACAAUGGAUCUCUUGGUUCUG